UGGGGAAUAUUGCACAAUGGGCGAAAGCCUGAUGCAGCGACGCCGCGUGAAGGAUGAAGUAUUUCGGUAUGUAAACUUCUAUCAGCAGGGGAAGAAAAUGACGGUACCUGACUAAGAAGCCCCGGCUAACUACGUGCC
rnacentral:rRNA from 1 species